UCUUGUUUAAACUAAUCUUCAUCUUUGUUAUCGAGUUUGUGUGAAUCCUGUAUAAAAUUAUGAGACUUUGUAAAUCAUUGGCAUUUGCCUCUUUGAUGUUUUUGCAAAUUCUCACAAAUGUAGAUGAUUAAAAGUAAAUUACAUGGGUGUUUGCAUUUUUCCGUGGCCGUUCGAUUUGCCUAUGUUAAAAAGUGGAACUUCAUGUCCUGUGACUGUAAUACAUUCAAAGAGCGAACAACUGCAGACCCUUCAGCGCUUUGAUUCAAAUAUGUGCAAAUACUCCUAAAAUAUGUUCUGCAAUAUGUAAGCAAAGAUUUAAUCAAUUCACGGUGGUCACGCGUAAUUGACAUUGAAUCCUUAAAAUAACGCUUGGUAGUCUUUGAAUAGUGUCUUUAUGUUAAAACGGUAUUUGUUGAUGCUCUUAUAUAUUUAUUUAAUAAUAAAUAUUUGAUUAACGUUCAUUCUUUUAUAUUUUAUAACCAUUAUUUUAGCAGAAUGCACAUUCAUUUUAUUCCAAUACAAUUACGAUAUAUAAAUUCAGAUUCUCGCUAAAAAAAGAAAGGAAAACGGACUAUACUUUGAUUAAAAAAAUCAUGUCCUAUAGGAAACACAUGUAUAUUUAUCUUAAAAAUUAAACAAACUAUACUAUAUGCAAUUCAUUUGUUUUAUAUUUAUUCUGUUGUUGUCGUUUUUGAAAUAAUUUAUAUAAUUUUAUUCCCAAGAACGUUUUUGGUCAAAAUUACGCUUCUGACAUUUUAAAUCUCUGUUGACAUUUCUGUGCUGUCAUAAUUUAGUUGACCAAGUUCUACAAAGACGAAAUAGGGCAUUGGCUUUCGAAAGUAGUCAUACGAGAUAUAAGAACAGGAAGUCUGUACGUGGACCACUUUGUUGUAUAUCAAAAGCGCGAACAAAUUUUGAGCGAUGUGACAUAUGCGGUGGUGAAAUUGGCCGAGAGCGGUCUUGUAAUUUAUGGUAAAACAUACAACGUCACCAAUGCUUUCAUUGGUAAAGAUAAAGUUCCCUUACACGACAUUACGGAAGAGAGAAAGUCUGAAUAAUGCCGUGUAUAUACUAGUAUCAAUCCAUGUAACGAUGACGAACACUGUGAGGUUGACGAUACGAUAGUUCGUUGCGUAAAAAAAGAAAACUACACAGGAACCCGACUCGAAACUGUUCAAAAUAGUUUCGGCUGCGGUUGGCGGUGCUUUGUUCCUGAUUAUCGUCGUGCUGGUUGUCGUUUUAUGCAAACAGAAAGCCAAGAAGCCAAUGGAGAUGGACCAUCUAGAACCGAAGGAACACGACAACACGUACCAAGACAUCUCCGCACGUGAAAUGUCCGUGUUCAAGGAUGACAAGUCUGAUGUGCACAAGAUCCCUCGAGCCAAGCUGUCUGAGUCCCAGCUUGCCUUUGAAGAGAGUCAGGCCAAGCUCUAGGUAUGAGAGAAAUCGCCAUGAGACGGAGGCCGAUCGAAACCGAUAUGAUGGGCUGCCACAACAAGGUGAAAGUUACUACAAUACUGGCAUGCAGCUGUAACACGUGGAAGUUAUUUGUGUGCUUGCUUUAAAUGCCCAAACAGUAAUGUAGGUUAACAUAAGUUGUAUGCAAGAAAUAUUGAUGUUUUUGCUUUACAAAUGUAUGCCUAUUUUUGUUGAAUACAGGAGCGCAUAUGCUUAAUUUUUGUGUGUGGACGUGCAUGUAAUCAGAUUUUGAUUUUUUUUUUAUAUUUGCGUAUAAAUGUAUGUUUAAAAUAAUCAUUACCUAUUAACAUGUUUUUAGAUCAUUUUUAACGUAAAAAAUGAAGGUAUCAAUUAUAAUUCGUAAAUAAAUGUCAUCAUCAUUGUAUUUAAAUAAUGAUUAUGUAGGCACAUAAGUUAUGUGUUAAGAUAGUACAUACAUUUUCAACAAAAUUACUUUUUGUAAUUUAAACUUAUGCGGACGUAAUCUUUUUUUGCGGCGUUUCUAAGCGGACAUAAUAUUUUUAAACGUUAUAUUCAUCAAAUAGAUUAUUUUAAACGACACCUAUUUUGCACAAUCGUCUUCUCUCAUUUUUAGCUCGGCUGUUUUCGGAGAAAACCCGAGGUAUUGUCAUAGCCAGCUCGUCGUCCGCCGUCCGGCGUCUGCCGUCCGGCGUCUGCAGUCCGCCGUCCGCGUCGUGCUAAAACCUUGACAUUUGGCUCUAAAAUCAAAGUGCUUCCACCUACUACUUUGAAACUUCAUAUGUAGAUGCACCUUGAUGAGUUCUACACGCCACACCCAAUUUUGGGUCACUAGGUCAAAGGUCAAGGUCACUGUGACCUCUAAAAAAUAUUCUGACAAGCUUUCAUUUAAUCAAAACUGCACCCGCAGCCGAGCGUUUGCACCAGUUAUGCGGUGCUCUUGUAUUAAUAAUUUAAUAUGUUUCAAAAAUAAAUGUUUUCCUUCC